AUGAUUCUUUUAGUAUGGCGAAUGAACAAAGACAUGGUCAUUUUGAAAAUUGUGGUCUUAGAUCAUGAAUUGUAUUUUCAAAAUGCAUUGCUAACACAACUGCACAUGUUUGUUUAUUGGAAAGAACAUCACAAAGGGUGACAAUCCCAUGUGUCAUGUGUAUGUUUUGUGUACAGUGUGCAUUAUAUGAAUCACAUUCAUUGACAAUUGAAUGCAAAUAGAAUGGUAAAUUUCAUUUAAUCAUAAAUAUGUUGUUGACAACUUAUAGCAAACAAAUACCAUGAGGGAAAUGUGAAAAGGAUUUUGAAAAGAAAAUUAAAAGAGCUUGCAAUUGCUGAACUGAUAAGCAAACAAAACAUACGUGUGUAUGCAAGAUUGUUGUAAUGCUUAGCAUCUUUUGCAAGGCUAUUGCAAUGAUUUUUUGUAUAGUGAUGCUACCUUUUUUUGGAAUUUGGAAUGUCUUUUUUUGAGUGUGAAUGGAAUUUUGUUUGUUAGCAAAGGAAUGCACUUUUAGAUUCAUUGUUUGAUUUGAUUUAAAAAUGUUUGUGACACAUGUCUUUGUGUUAGUUUCAUGAUUCAACCAAGGACAUUGUGUUUGAUCCAUGUCAGCAAUACAUGUUUUGUUUGACCCGUCUUGAAACACGGACCAAGGAGUUUAAUUUAUGUGCAAGAUCAUGAAACUGACAUUUGUAUAUCAAUGAAAAUAUUUUGUUGGGAUUUGUGCACCAACAACUGAUAAGUUGUGUGACGCGACGUUGAGUUUGAGCAUGUUGAUUAAAACCCGAAAGAUGGUGAACUAUGCCUGAACAGAAUGAAGUCAGAGGAAACUCUGAUGGAAGUUCGUAUCGAUACUGACGUGCAAAUCGUUCGUCAUACUUGGGUAU
rnacentral:rRNA from 1 species